rnacentral:rRNA from 1 species
UACGGGGGGGGCAAGCGUUGUUCGGAAUUACUGGGCGUAAAGGGCUCGUAGGCGGCCAACUAAGUCAGACGUGAAAUCCCUCGGCUUAACCGGGGAACUGCGUCUGAUACUGGAUGGCUUGAGAUUGGGAGAGGGAUGCGGAAUUCCAGGUGUAGCGGUGAAAUGCGUAGAUAUCUGGAGGAACACCGGUGGCGAAGGCGGUAUCCUGGACCAACACUGACGCUGAGGAGCGAAAGCCAGGGGAGCAAACGGG